CCUACGGGCGGCAGCAGUAGGGAAUCUUCCACAAUGGGCGCAAGCCUGAUGGAGCAACACCGCGUGAGUGAAGAAGGGUUUCGGCACGUAAAGCUCUGUUGUUGGAGAAGAACGUGCGGGUGAGUAACUGAUCACGCAGUGAUGGUAUCCAGCCAGAAAGUCCGGGCUAACUACGUGCGAGCAGCCGCGGUAGUACGUAGGGGGCAAGCGUUAUCCGGGAUUAUUGGGCGUAAGGCGAGCGCAGGCGGGUGCUUAGGUCUGAGGUGAGAGCUCUCGGCUUAACCGAAGAAGUGCAUCGGAAACUGGUGAACUUGAGUGCAGGAGAGGAAAGUGGAAUUCCUAGUGUAGCGGUGGAAUGCGUAGAUAUAAGGAAGAACACCAGUGGCGAAGGCGGCUGUCUGGUCUGCAACUGACGUUGAGGCUCGAAAGCAUGGGUAGCGAACAGGAUUAGAUACCCCUGUAGUC
rnacentral:rRNA from 1 species